GGUGAAAUGCGUAGAUAUCAGGAGGAAUACCAAUGGCGAAGGCAACUCUCUGGAUCGACACUGACGCUGAGGUGCGAAAGCGUGGGUAGCAAACAGGAUUAGAUACCCUGGUAGUCCACGCCGUAAACGAUGAGAACUAGCCGUUGGAUCUUAGAUUCAGUGGUACAGCUAACGCAUUAAGUUCUCCGCCUGGGGAGUACGGCCGCAAGGCUAAAACUCAAAUGAAUUGACGGGGGCCCGCACAAGCGGUGGAGCAUGUGGUUUAAUUCGAUGCAACGCGAAAAACCUUACCAACCCUUGACAUCUAGUGAAAUUUCUAGAGAUAGAUUUGUGCCUUCGGGAACACUAUGACAGGUGUUGCAUGGCUGUCGUCAGCUCGUGUCGUGAGAUGUAUGGUUAAGUCCAGUAACGAGCGCAACCCCUAUUCUUAUUUGCCAGCACUUCGGGUGGGAACUAUAAGGAGACCGCCGUGUAUAACACGGAGGAAGGCGGGGACGACGUCAAGUCAUCAUGGCCCUUACGGGUUGGGCUACACACGUGCUACAAUGGGAGAUACAGAUGGUUGCGAAAGCGCGAGCUGGAGCUAAUCCCAAAAAGUCUUCCUCAGUCCGGAUUGGGGUCUGCAACUCGACCCCAUGAAGUCGGAAUCGCUAGUAAUCGCGAAUCAGAAUGUCGCGGUGAAUACGUUCCCG
rnacentral:rRNA from 1 species